GUCCGCAACGAGCGCAACCCUACUUGUUAGUUGCCAUCAUUCAGUUGGGCGACUCUAGCGAGACUGCCGGUAAUAAACCGGAGGAAGGUGGGGAUGACGUCAAAUCAUCAUGCCCCUUAUGACCUGGGCUACACACGUGCUACAAUGGUUGGUACAACGAGUUGCGAGUCGGUGACGGCGAGCUAAUCUCUUAAAGCCAAUCUCAGUUCGGAUUGUAGGCUGCAACUCGCCUACAUGAAGUCGGAAUCGCUAGUAAUCGCGGAUCAGCACGCCGCGGUGAAUACGUUCCCGGGCCUU
rnacentral:rRNA from 1 species